UACAAGUAAGAACUAUUUAUUCAAAGACACGAUUAGAGAUUGAAAGAGUUCUUGUAGUACUUGUAUCUGACAAAGGACUUAUCCUCAUAUGAAAGGCAAGCUCAUAAAUUAGUUAGAAAGACAACAACUCAAUUUGAGUGUGGGCAAAAACAUCACAGAAAAGACUAGUGAAGUGUACACUAAGCAUAUGAAAAUGUGUGAAAUGUGAAAGUCAGUCGUAUCCAGCUCUUUGUGACCCCAUGGGCUAUAUGGAAUUCUCCAGGCCAGAAUACUGGAAUGGGUAUCUGUUCCUUUCUCCAGGGGAAUCUUCCCAACCCAGGGAUCAAAUCCAGGUCUCCCUCAUUGCAGGUGGGCUCUUUACCAGAUGAGCCACCAGGAAAGCCUUAAACAUAUGACAAGGUGUUCAAUUAUAUUAAAUAUAAGUAGAUUUCAAGUAAAACCACGAUGGGCUACCGCUACAGUGGCUAAAUGAAAAUGAUGGAAAAAAUCCAGUGUUGGUGAGGAAACUAGAUAUCUUAUCCACUUCAAAUUGAAGAAUUAAUUUGGUAUAAACUGCUGAGCAGUGCUCAGUGCUCAGUAAAGGUGAGCUUAUGCCUAUCCCAUGAACUUGUAAUUCCCUCCUAGAUAUAUACCCAACAAAAAUGCAUUCAUAUGAUCACCAAAAGAUAUGUGCUAAAAAAUCAUUGCAGUCUAAGUGAAGUCACUCAGUCAUGUCCAACUCUUUGCGACCCCGUGGACUGUAGGCCACCAGACUCCUGUGUCCAUGGUAUUUCCCAGUAUUCUGGCCUGGAGAAUCCCAUGGACAGAGAUGCCUGGCAGGCUACAGUCCAUGAGGUCACAAAGAGUCAAACACAACUGAGCAACUAACACUUUGACUUUCACUUCAUUUAUGAUGGAAAAGGGGAUCCAAAAAGUUUAGAAUAUUUGCACAUUUUCCCUGGGUUCAUGUAUGUCCUUCAUGGAAACAAAACUGGAAGUAGGCCACUCUUCAGCAUUAAAUACAUCCAGCUUUGGAAAUGACUCCAUUUACCAAGGUGAUUUUUUUUUUUCUUUUUUCAAAUAUUUUAGUUUUCUGCUCCCACACAGUGGACAGUGAUGUAUAGAAUGGUUAUCAAAGAUAUGCAAAAAGCUUAUUUUUACCUGUAAUUUCCAAUCACAAUGAGGAUAGAUUCCCUUUCACCACCAGAAUGAAUUAUGUAUUCUUACACUUAUGUGUAAGAAGCACACACGCACUCACAUAAUUGUGCAUAUAAAAAAACAUUCAGAGAGUCAAGGUAGGAUAGAUGUUGCUGAUUUCCAAAUGAGAUUUAGUUAGCUCCAAUGUCAGGGGUUUUAUCUUUUCCUUUCUCUUGUUCCCAUGUAGAUUUGUAGUAAAUAAAUAGUAUAGCUUUAGUUAUAGUGUUAGUCCCAUCUCUGGCAAUGUUGAUUAUAUUAGGUUGCUUCGUCCACUUUAUAGAUCAC
ensembl:lncRNA